rfam:Brachypodium distachyon strain Bd21 chromosome 4, whole genome shotgun sequence.
AAAGUACUCCCUCCUAUCCAUAUUAAUUGUCUCAAAUUUGACCAAAUAUGUAUGUAUUUAUGCAUAAAAAACGUCUAUAUACAUGUAAUAUUUCGACAAUUAAUAUGGAUUGGAGGGAGUAGUAG